UAGUCUGGCCGGACAGUGCGCUCCCGUCUGCCGGCGGGCCGCUCCUGUUGUUUUCCGAGCGAUAAUUUGGGGAGGGCGCGCGUUUUCCAGCCGUGCCCUUGGACCUUUUUUCUGGAGCGGCCUUGGGGCCAUUAGGAGCACCGUCAGCGGCCAAGCCGGGGUGCGGGAGCGGGGACCCGGUGGGCCCGAUGGCAACGAGUCCAUGUGCUCUGUAAAGAAGGGGAAUUCCCCUGUGUGCUCCAAAAACGGAGCAAAAAUCACGGUAGAGAAGCCCAGUAGCAGCAAGGAAAAUAAGCUGAGGACAGAGAAAUAAGACGGAGAUGGGAUAUCCAUAACUGAGUGCUUUAUGAACAAGGGGAGGGCCCUAACAACUCGCCUGAAAGGGUGAGUUAUUAUCGAACCAGGGGAGAAUUUCUUUCUUAAAGCCACUAGAAGAAAGAAACAUUAUAAA